GACGAACGCUGGCGGCGUGCCUAAUACAUGCAAGCAGAACGCUGAAGGAGGAGCUUGCUUCUCUGGAUGAGUUGCGAACGGGUGAGUAACGCGUAGGUAACCUGCCUGGUAGCGGGGGAUAACCAUUGGAAACGAUAGCUAAUACCGCAUAAUAGUAGAUGUUGCAUGACAUUUACUUAAAAGGUGCAAUUGCAUCACUACCAGAUGGACCUGCGUUGUAUUAGCUAGUUGGUGGGGUAACGGCUCACCAAGGCGACGAUACAUAGCCGACCUGAGAGGGUGAUCGGCCACACUGGGACUGAGACACGGCCCAGACUCCUACGGGAGGCAGCAGUAGGGAAUCUUCGGCAAUGGACGGAAGUCUGACCGAGCAACGCCGCGUGAGUGAAGAAGGUUUUCGGAUCGUAAAGCUCUGUUGUAAGAGAAGAACGAGUGUGAGAGUGGAAAGUUCACACUGUGACGGUAUCUUACCAGAAAGGGACGGCUAACUACGUGCCAGCAGCCGCGGUAAUACGUAGGUCCCGAGCGUUGUCCGGAUUUAUUGGGCGUAAAGCGAGCGCAGGCGGUUAGAUAAGUCUGAAGUUAAAGGCUGUGGCUUAACCAUAGUACGCUUUGGAAACUGUUUAACUUGAGUGCAAGAGGGGAGAGUGGAAUUCCAUGUGUAGCGGUGAAAUGCGUAGAUAUAUGGAGGAACACCGGUGGCGAAAGUGGCUCUCUGGCUUGUAACUGACGNUGAGGCUCGAAAGCGUGGGGAGCAAACAGG
rnacentral:rRNA from 1 species